rnacentral:rRNA from 1 species
UGAACGCUGGCGGCGUGCCUAAUACAUGCAAGUCGAGCGAACGGACGAGAAGCUUGCUUCUCUGAUGUUAGCGGCGGACGGGUGAGUAACACGUGGAUAACCUACCUAUAAGACUGGGAUAACUUCGGGAAACCGUAGCUAAUACCGGAUAAUAUUUUGAACCGCAUGGUUCAAAAGUGAAAGACGGUCUUGCUGUCACUUAUAGAUGGAUCCGCGCUGCAUUAGCUAGUUGGUAAGGUAACGGCUUACCAAGGCAACGAUGCAUAGCCGACCUGAGAGGGUGAUCGGCCACACUGGAACUGAGACACGGUCCAGACUCCUACGGGAGGCAGCAGUAGGGAAUCUUCCGCAAUGGGCGAAAACCUGACGGAGCAACGCCGCGUGAGUGAUGAAGGUCUUCGGAUCGUAAAACUCUGUUAUUAGGGAAGAACAUAUGUGUAAGUAACUGUGCACAUCUUGACGGUACCUAAUCAGAAAGCCACGGCUAACUACGUG